rnacentral:rRNA from 1 species
AUUGAACGCUAGCGGGGUGCUUUACACAUGCAAGUCGAACGAGUGGCGGACGGGUGAGUAAUAUAUCGGAACGUGCCCAGUAGCGGGGGAUAACUACUCGAAAGAGUGGCUAAUACCGCCUACUAUUGGAGCGGCCGGUAUAGGAUUAGCUAGGUGGGGGGGUAAAGGCUCACAAAGGCAACUAUCCGGAACUGGGUUCAGAGGACGACCAGCGACACUGGGACUGAGACACGGCCCAGACUCCUACGGGAGGCAGCAGUGGGGAAUUUUGGACAAUGGGGGAAACCCUGAUCCAGCCAUCCCGCGUGUAUGAGAAGGCCUUCGGGUUGUAAAGUACUUUUGGCAGAGAAGCGGUAUCUGCAGAAUAAGCACCGGCUAACUACGUGCCAGCAGCCGCGGUAAUUC